GGGCGUUAAGUUGCAGGGUAUAGACCCGAAACCCGGUGAUCUAGCCAUGGGCAGGUUGAAGGUUGGGUAACACUAACUGGAGGACCGAACCGACUAAUGUUGAAAAAUUAGCGGAUGACCUGUGGCUGGGGGUGAAAGGCCAAUCAAACCGGGAGAUAGCUGGUUCUCCCCGAAAGCUAUUUAGGUAGCGCCUCGUGAACUCAUCUUCGGGGGUAGAGCACUGUUUCGGCUAGGGGGCCAUCCCGGCUUACCAACCCGAUGCAAACUGCGAAUACCGAAGAAUGUUAUCACGGGAGACACACGGCGGGUGCUAACGUCCGUCGUGAAGAGGGAAACAACCCAGACCGCCAGCUAAGGUCCCAAAGUCAUGGUUAAGUGGGAAACGAUGUGGGAAGGCCCAGACAGCCAGGAUGUUGGCUUAGAAGCAGCCAUCAUUUAAAGAAAGCGUAAUAGCUCACUGGUCGAGUCGGCCUGCGCGGAAGAUGUAACGGGGCUAAACCAUGCACCGAAGCUGCGGCAGCGACACU
rnacentral:rRNA from 1 species